UGGGAGCGAAGCGGUAACUGGGUGGCUGCUACAGGAUCCCUAGCUGCUUGAGUUUCCCUGUCGGGCCUCCUGUCAGCGGCGUAGCGGGGAAAGUAGAAGAUGUCUGAAUAUAUUCGGGUAACAGAAGAUGAAAAUGACGAGCCCAUUGAAAUACCUUCAGAAGACGAUGGGACUGUGCUGCUGUCCACUGUUACAGCCCAGUUUCCGGGCGCGUGUGGGCUGCGCUAUCGGAAUCCGGUGUCUCAGUGCAUGCGAGGCGUGCGACUGGUGGAGGGGAUCCUGCACGCCCCGGACAACGGCUGGGGGAAUCUGGUGUACGUUGUCAACUAUCCCAAAGAUAACAAGAGGAAAAUGGAUGAGACGGAUGCCUCAUCAGCGGUGAAAGUGAAGAGAGCAGUCCAGAAAACAUCCGACCUAAUAGUGCUGGGUCUCCCGUGGAAAACGACUGAGCAGGACCUGAAAGAGUAUUUCAGUACCUUUGGGGAGGUCCUCAUGGUCCAGGUCAAGAAAGAUAUUAAAACCGGUCAUUCAAAAGGGUUUGGCUUUGUUCGAUUUACGGAAUACGAAACCCAGGUGAAGGUCAUGUCACAGCGACACAUGAUAGACGGACGGUGGUGUGACUGUAAACUCCCUAAUUCCAAGCAAAGCCCAGAUGAGCCUCUGAGAAGCAGAAAGGUGUUUGUCGGGCGUUGUACAGAGGACAUGACCGCCGAUGAGUUGCGGCAGUUCUUUUGCCAGUACGGAGAAGUGGUAGAUGUCUUCAUUCCCAAGCCGUUCAGGGCUUUUGCCUUUGUUACAUUUGCAGAUGAUCAGGUUGCCCAGUCUCUUUGUGGAGAGGACUUGAUCAUUAAAGGAAUCAGCGUACACAUAUCCAAUGCUGAACCUAAGCACAAUAGCAAUAGACAGUUAGAAAGAAGUGGAAGAUUCGGUGGUAAUCCGGGUGGCUUUGGGAAUCAGGGUGGAUUUGGUAACAGUAGAGGGGGGGGAGCUGGCUUGGGAAACAAUCAAGGCAGUAACAUGGGUGGGGGGAUGAACUUCGGAGCAUUUAGCAUUAACCCAGCAAUGAUGGCUGCAGCCCAGGCAGCCCUGCAGAGCAGCUGGGGCAUGAUGGGCAUGUUAGCCAGUCAGCAGAACCAGUCAGGCCCAUCAGGUAACAAUCAGAGCCAAGGCAACAUGCAGAGGGAGCCGAAUCAGGCCUUUGGUUCUGGAAAUAACUCUUAUAGUGGUUCUAAUUCAGGUGCAGCAAUUGGUUGGGGAUCAGCUUCAAAUGCAGGGUCAGGCAGUGGUUUUAAUGGAGGCUUCGGCUCAAGCAUGGAUUCUAAACCUUCUAGCUGGGGAAUGUAGACAGUGGGUGACGGUUGUAUAGACUGGUGGGAAUUCAAAUUUUUCUAAACUCAUGGUAAGUAUAUUGUAAAAUACAUAUGUACUGAGAAUUUUCAAAAUUUGGUUGUUCAGUGUGGAGUAUAUUCAGCAGUAUUUUUGACAUUUUUCUUUAGAAAAAGAGGAAGAGCUAAAGGAAUUUUAUAAGUUUUGUUACAUAAAGGGUUGCAAUAUUGAGUGUUUGAAAGUGAACUGCUGUUUGCCUGAUGGGUAAACCGACACACUACAAUUGAUAUCAAAGGUUUCUCCUGUAAUAUUUUAUCCCUGGACUCGUCAAGUGAAUUCUUUGCAUGUUCAAAAUGGAAACCAUUAAUUAGAACUACAUUCUUUUCUGCUUGUUUUAAUUUGAACCCCACCAUAUGGAUUUCUUCCUUAGGAAUAUCUCCUUUUUGGAGAUCACGGUGUCACAGUGUUUGGUUCUUUUGUUUUUGUUUUUUUAACACUUGUCUCCCUUCAUAUGCAAAAGUACAAUAUGAAGCCUUCAUUUAAUCUCUGCAGUUCAUCUCAUUUCAAAUGUUUAUGGAAGAAGCACUUCAUUGAAAGUAGUGCUGUAAAUACUCUGCCAUAGGAAUACUUCUGUCCACAUGCUUUCUCAUUCAAGAUUUGGUCAUCACACUGCACGGGCCGCGUCUCUGACGCCCUGAAUGCAAAGAAUUCAUAGCAGUUAAUUCCCCUUUUUUGACCCUUUUGAGAUGGAACUUUCAUAAAGUUUCUUGGCAAUAGUUUAUUUUGCUUCAAAUAAACUUAUUUCAAAAGUUGUCUCAAGUCAAAUGGAUUCAUCACCUGUCAUGCAUUGACACCUGAUACCCAGACUUAAUUGCUAUUUGUUCUUGCAUUGUCUAAAGUGAAAAAUUUUUUUUUCUUUUUAAAUCUGGUUUUUAAUAAGUCUGGGUGACCACACCUAAAAUGGUAAGCAGUACCCUCCAGUUUUUUUCUCAGUGCCUCUGUGCAUUUGGGUGAUGUUCUAUUUACAUGGCCUGGGUAAACUUCCAUCAGGAAAGCCACCAUGCCUUCUAAAAGUCUUAUUUGGGGGAGUGGGCAAAACAGUGUUAAUGAUUCUUAAAUGCUUUGUAGCAAAGCACAUCAAUUGAAAAGAAAGGAAUAUCAGCGCCUUUUUAGUUUGGGAUUUGAAAAGUGGAAUUAAUUGCAAUAGGGAUAAAGUAGAAGAAACCACAAAUUACCUUGUGCCUGAAAUCCAUUAAGAAGCUUGAUAGCUUUAAGAACUAGCAGGGUGGUGGGCUGUCUGUGGACAUGUUAAAUGAAAUGGGCUUCGUCCUCCAAAGGCAGGGGAAGUGUUGAAUAAAACUGUUCACAACACUGAGAUUAGAUUCUCACGAUGCAUUGUUAAGUAUGUAAAAGCAAUAAUAUAUUGAUUCUCUAUUGUACUUUUUAUGUAACUACUACGAUGAGAGUUGAGCUUGUUUUCUAAUGGACGAAUGUAAAAUUUCUGUGUUGAUAAUUUGCCGAAUGCCCUUAUCUAAUUAGAGUAUGAUAAAUAGGUUUUUUGCAAGAUAGGUGUUUUAACUUUUAUAAGUCAUCCUUUAGACUUGUGAUCGCCACAUUGUUUCAUUGUCCAGUUUUCUUCUGUAAAAGGAUCUUGCGUUGUUUAAAUUUUUUUUCUGCAUCUAAGUUGCAUGAUUUCCAAACCCUGUACCAUCUGAAUUUUGCAUUUUAGCACUUGCGCUAUUACUCAGCAGCAGUAACAUGGUAACACUUAAAAUGCUAUCGGGGACCUCCAAAGACUAAACUGGCGAGCCUUCAAGGAGCCCGGGGUAAGUUCACUCGUCGAUGGCAUGGUUUUCGUCCCUGUUUACACGUGUGUAACUCUAGUUACUGGUCUCAGAAGGCCUUUGGUGUCUGGCAGCCUUCUGCUAACAUGUCUGUGGUAAAUACCUUACUUAGCUAUGGGGAUUUAAUUCUGCCCUAAGUUUUUUUUUUUUUUUUUGGUUUUCUUUUUUGAAGUUCAGAAGUAAACUAUUUGGCAAAGAUUUGUUUUUAAA